rnacentral:rRNA from 1 species
UAGUCCACGCCGUAAACGAUGAUCACUCGAUAUUGGCUUCGGUCAGUGUCCUAGCGAAAGUGUUAAGUGAUCCACCUGGGGAGUACGCCGGCAACGGUGAAACUCAAAGGAAUUGACGGGGGCCCGCACAAGCGGUGGAGCAUGUGGUUUAAUUCGAUGAUACGCGAGGAACCUUACCAGGGCUUAAAUGCAGAACGACCGUCUCGGAAACGAGACUUUCUUCGGACGGACUGCAAGGUGCUGCAUGGUUGUCGUCAGCUCGUGCCGUGAGGUGUCGGGUUAAGUCCCAUAACGAGCGCAACCCCCAUCCUUAGUUGCCAGCGGAUAAUGCCGGGGACUCUAAGGAAACUGCCAGCGUAAGCUGUGAGGAAGGUGGGGAUGACGUCAAAUCAUCACGGCCCUUACGUCCUGGGCUACACACGUGCUACAAUGGUAAAGACAGUGAGCAGCCAUCCCGCGAGGGUUAGCUAAUCUUCAAACUUUAUCUCAGUUCGGAUUGGAGUCUGCAACUCGA